AAGCGUUCCCCGGUUCAGAACGGGAGUCUUCAUGCACGCUCUUGUCCCUUUCUUCCCUCGGCCUUUGGUCUCACCGGUUUGACACAUACCCGGUUUUUACCGUAUACAAAACCACCAUAAACAGACUCAUCUUUUACAUUUUUUUUCCACCAUUUUCCUCUAUUAAUGUUCCAUCACUGACACAUCAUAACAACCAUCAUCAUUCAAGCCUGAAAGUAGCGGUAAAGCCAGCUGCCAAUACCAUAUAAACCUCACUGAAUCACCCAUUAAAACCCAACCAAAAAUCUGAAUCCGUUUCAUCACUUUGGUCGAGUUCACAGAGGUGCCGUCGUCGGAUUUCGAGGUCGAGUUCGCUGUUGAGAUUCUUGCGGUCCGAUUCUUGAUUGUUUACAUCGUUCAAAUCUUGUAUUUUGCGGGGAUUUCUCCAUUUAAUAGUGAAAAACAUCUUGAAAGGAUGAAGACCUCAAGGAGCUUCGUUGUCUUGCGGAGAAUCAACUACAGGAGUAAAAAAAUUUGAAUGACAGAAGAGACAAGGCAGUUCUUGAUGUAAUGUUGUAAUCACAAAAAAGUUACAAAAGAAAUUCCUAAUCUGUUGUAUUCUUUGUAAUUUAUGUACAAAAGCUGAAGAAGAAUUUUAUCUUUAAGAUAUCCGAUUCCCUAUCUUUACUUUU